CAAAUGAUCCAAAUCUGUUGUCACAUUACAAUAAGCAAACUGAAAGCUUAUAUCAUAUUCAAAGAGAAAGUCCAGAUGGUCCAGAUCCACGUCAUCAUGGCGGGUUUAUACAAUCCAAAAAUGUUGAUCAGAAAGUUUCAAAUGAUCCAAAUCUGUUGUCACAUUACAAUAAGCAAACUGAAAGCUUAUAUCAUAUUCAAAGAGAAAGUUCAGAUGGUCCAGAUCCACGUCAUCAUGGUGGGUUUAUACAAUCCAAAAAUGUUGAUCAGAAAAUUUUAAAUGAUCCAAAUUCUGUAUCGGAUUACUACAAGCAAACUGAAAGCUUAUAUCAUAUUCAAAGAGAAAGUUCAGAUGGUCCAGAUCCACGUCAUCAUGGUGGGUUUAUACAAUCCAAAAAUGUUGAUCAGAAAAUUUUAAAUGAUCCAAAUUCUGUAUCGGAUUACUACAAGCAAACUGAAAGCUUAUAUCAUAUUCAAAGAGAAAGUCCAGCUGGUCCAGAUCCACGUCACCAUGGCGGAUUUAUACAAUCCAAAAAUGUUGAUAAAAAAAUUUUAAAUGAUCUAAAUCCAGGGUCGCAUUACUAUAAGCAAACUGAAAGCUUAUAUCAUAUUCAAAGAGAAAGUCCAGCUGGUCCAGAUCCACGUCACCAUGGCGGAUUUAUACAAUCCAAAAAUGUUGAUAAAAAAAUUUUAAAUGAUCCAAAUUCUGUAUCGGAUUACUACAAGCAAACUGAAAGCUUAUAUCAUAUUCAAAGAGAAAGUCCAGCUGGUCCAGAUCCACGUCACCAUGGCGGAUUUAUACAAUCCAAAAAUGUUGAUAAAAAAAUUUUAAAUGAUCUAAAUCCAGGGUCGCAUUACUAUAAGCAAACUGAAAGCUUAUAUCAUAUUCAAAGAGAAAGUCAAGCUGGUCCAGAUCCACACCACCACCACCCCCAGUUUAUACAAUCUAAAACUUCAAAAUGACAAUCAUAUCAAAAUAUUGAAUCCAAAAAAUGUGGAUUCAAAAUAUGAUAGCUAUAUCCAUUCAUGAAUAAUGACAUAUUUAGUCUGCUUAGAC
rnacentral:lncRNA from 1 species